rnacentral:lncRNA from 1 species
UUUUUUUUGAGGCAGAGUCUCACUCUGUUGCCCAGGCUGGAGUACAGUGAUGCCAUCUCGACUCACUGCAACCUCCACCCACCCGGCUCAAGCAAUUCUCCUGCCUUAGCCUCCCGAGUAGCCGGGAUUACAGGCAUGCACCACCACACCUAGCUAAUUUUUUAUUUUUAGUAGAGACGGGGUUUCGCCAUGUUAGCAAGGCAAGUGAACCACCCGCCUUGGCCUCCCAAAGUGUUGGAAUUACAGGCCUGAGCCACCAUGUCUGGCCAAACGUUCCUUUUUCAAACCUAUACUGUCGCCAGUAAAGUUUUCUUACCAACCUGCGAGUGGACCACUUUCCAACUCUGGGGCUCCAGCACUCACCCCGCAGUCAAUGUGUUGUACGUCAGCAGCCAUUCUAACAGGUAUGUAGUGGCAUCAGUUUUUUUUGUUUGUUUGAGACAGGGUCUCACUCUGUCACUCAGGCUGGAGUGCAGUGGCGAGAUCUCGGCUCACUGCAACCUCCACCUCCUGGGUUCAAGCGAUUCUCAUGCCUCAGCCUCCCCAGUAGCUGGGACCACAGGCAUCUGCCACCACAUCUGGCUAAUUUUUUUUUUGUAUUUUUAGUAGAGACAGGGUUUCACCAUGUUGUCCAUGGCUGGUCUUGAACUCCCGAUCUCAAGUGAUCCACCCACCUCAGCCUCCCAAAGUGCUGGGAUUACAGGUGUGAGCCACCGCGCCCAGUCAGCUGGGGCAAUUUCUUUUGUUAUUUUAAAUAAACACCAGCUUUCAGCCGGGCACGGUGGCGGGCGCCUGUAGUCCCAGCUACUCGGGAGGCUGAGGCAGGAGAAUGGUGUGAACCCGGGAGGCAGAGCUUGCAGUGAGCUGAGAUCGCGCCACUGCACUCCAGUCUGGGCGACAGAGUGAGACUCCAUCUCAAAAAAAUAAAAAUAAAUAAAAAAUAAACAAACACCGGCUUUCACACCUAA